UAGGGAUGCUCUGGUUAUAUGC
rnacentral:siRNA from 1 species